UACGUAUGGUGCAAGCGUUAUCCGGAUUUACUGGGUGUAAAGGGAGCGUAGGCGGCGCGUUAAGUCCGAUGUGAAAACCCGAGGCUCAACCACGGGAGUGCAUUGGAAACUGGCGUGCUGGAGUGCCGGAGAGGUAAGCGGAAUUCCUAGUGUAGCGGUGAAAUGCGUAGAUAUUAGGAGGAACACCAGUGGCGAAGGCGGCUUACUGGACGGCAACUGACGCUGAGGCUCGAAAACGUGGGGAGCAAACAGG
rnacentral:rRNA from 1 species